rnacentral:rRNA from 1 species
UACAGAGGAUGCAAGCGUUAUCCGGAAUGAUUGGGCGUAAAGCGUCUGUAGGUGGCUUUUUAAGUCCGCCGUCAAAUCCCAGGGCUCAACUCUGGACAGGCGGUGGAAACUACCAAGCUGGAGUACGGUAGGGGCAGGGGGAAUUUCCGGUAGAGCGGUGAAAUGCGUAGAGAUCGGAAAGAACACCAACGGCGAAAGCACUCUGCUGGGCCGACACUGACACUGGAGAGACGAAAGCUAGGGGAGCAAUGGG